CGGGAUGUAGCGCAGUUUGGUAGCGCAUCUGUUUUGGGAACAGAAUGUCGUGUGUUCAAAUCCCACCAUCCCGA
rnacentral:tRNA from 1 species